GGUUAGACAGUACAGAGACAGGUCAUCAAGGAGCAGGUAGGGGUUAGACAGUACAGAGACAGGUCAUUAAGGAGCAGGUAGGGGUUAGACAGUACAGAGACAGGUCAUUAAGGAGCAGGUAGGGGUUAGACAGUACAGAGACAGGUCAUUAAGGAGCAGGUAGGGGUUAGACAGUACAGAGACAGGUCAUUAAGGAGCAGGUAGGGGUUAGACAGUACAGAGACAGGUCAUUAAGGAGCAGGUAGGGGUUAGACAGUACAGAGCAGGUCAUUAAGGAGCAGGUAGGGGUUAGACAGUACAGAGACAGGUCAUUAAGGAGCAGGUAGGGGUUAGACAGUACAGAGACAGGUCAUUAAGGAGCAGGUAGGGGUUAGACAGUACAGAGACAGGUCAUCAAGGAGCAGGUAGGGGUUAGACAGUACAGAGACAGGUCAUCAAGGAGCAGGUAGGGGUUAGACAGUACAGAGACAGGUC
ensembl:lncRNA